GACGAACGCUGGCGGCGUGCUUAACACAUGCCAGUCGAACGGAAAGGCCCUGCUUUUGUGGGGUGCUCGAGUGGCGAACGGGUGAGUAACACGUGAGUAACCUGCCCUUGACUUUGGGAUAACUUCAGGAAACUGGGGCUAAUACCGGAUAGGAGCUCCUGCUUCAUGGUGGGGGUUGGAAAGUUUCGGCGGUUGGGGAUGGACUCGCGGCUUAUCAGCUUGUUGGUGGGGUAGUGGCUUACCAAGGCUUUGACGGGUAGCCGGCCAGUGAGGGUGACCGGCCACAGUGGAGAUGAGAUACGGCGCAGACUCCUACGGGAGGCAGGAGUCGGAAAUAUUGUAUAAUCGGCGGAAGCCUAAUGCAGCACCGCCGCGUGCGGGAUGACGGGCUUCAGGUUGUAACCCGCUUACGCCUGUGACGAAGCGUGAGUGACGAUAAUGGGUAAAGAAACACAGGCUAACUAAGUG
rnacentral:rRNA from 1 species